rnacentral:rRNA from 1 species
GGGGGACCUUCGGGCCUCUUGCCAUCGGAUGUGCCCAGAUGGGAUUAGCUAGUAGGUGGGGUAACGGCUCACCUAGGCGACGAUCCCUAGCUGGUCUGAGAGGAUGACCAGCCACACUGGAACUGAGACACGGUCCAGACUCCUACGGGAGGCAGCAGUGGGGAAUAUUGCACAAUGGGCGCAAGCCUGAUGCAGCCAUGCCGCGUGUAUGAAGAAGGCCUUCGGGUUGUAAAGUACUUUCAGCGGGGAGGAAGGGAGUAAAGUUAAUACCUUUGCUCAUUGACGUUACCCGCAGAAGAAGCACCGGCUAACUCCGUGCCAGCAGCCGCGGUAAUCCGGAGGGUCAAGC